UUUGAGUGUAGAUUUUGCAAUCAAAAUCUUGACCACAUUUUAACAUUCUCCCUUCAGUCUUCUAAUUCUCAGUCAGAGGUCAUCAUUGUCACUUUGUGGCUUGACUUUGCAGCCACGUCUUCCAAAGGCCUGUUGUCUUCUCACCCCAGCACCCGCAGGACGUCUGCAGGGAAGCUACGUUGCCUCCCUGAGGGCCUGCAGGCCUGCUGUGAUCCAGCACCGUCAUAGCCAGACACCUUUACCUUGUUUGCUCAAGAAUAUUGUGCAACAGUGGACCUUCAUGGUUUCCAAGCAGAAAAAUGCUGUUUGACCACUGAGCAAAUUCUUCUUGACUGCUUUGGAUUAAGAAUUGCUACUCUGGUGAAAUUAAGCCAAAGUGUCAUUCAGGAAGCAAGAUGUUUCGUUUGAACAGAACAUAAAUCAAAGCUGGAAGUAGGGGCUGCCUAGUCUCCCUGUUCUGAAGCCCUCUUGACUCUGUGAAUUCCAUCACCAAAUCCUUGCUUCCAGACCUCAGGAACAUGGCUUCAACAAGUCUGUCUAUGCCAAACCCAUGCUUCCCAUUGCUUUCAUUCUGAAGCUUCUAGGGCUGUUUCAAGAAUGCAAUGCAAAAUUAAAAUUUCAUGGAAUAUUAAGCAAUUCUUUCUAAUAGAAAGCCAGUAAAAUUGUCAAAUUUCAUUGAUCACCAAGCCAUGUAGAUGACUGGCCAGUUUGAAAGGUCCACACUAUGGUUUGAAUCUUCGUUUCCUCACCAAAAUCCAUGUUCAAACUUAAAACCCAUUGUGGUGAUAUUAAGAGGUGUGUUCUUUGGGAGGUGAUUAAGUCAUCUAUGGCAUUAGCACCUUAUAAAAGGGCUCAGGGAUGAAGGGAGCACCCUCUUGCCUUCCUAUCUCUUCCUCCAUGUAAGGACAUUGCUUUCCUCCUCUGGGGAGGAUGCAGCAACAAGGCGCCAUCUUGAAAGCAGAGAGCAGCCCUCAACAGACACCACUUCUACUGGCUUCUUGAUCUUGGACUCUCAGCCUCCAGAACCAUGAGAAAUAAACUUCUGUUCUUUUAUCAAUUAUCCAGUCUCGGGUACUUU
rnacentral:lncRNA from 1 species